UAAUCUGUCUAGGAUAAAUCUUUAUUUAGUUAUGAUAGACCCACACAUGACGGUUUAGAAUCACUCGUUAUCGCAGGCCCGACUACAUCAUGUUGAUCUGUCAAAACUAUGACUUGGUAAGCUUUGAAAUAUGAU
rfam:Populus trichocarpa scaffold_4_contig_378, whole genome shotgun sequence.